GCAGAGGAGCACAGACCUUCCCCUUCCUGCAUUGCACACAACGGGGGCUUCGACUCACUUCAAAGCUUGCAGGAUCCUUGUCCUUCCCUGCAAAUCCAGGCACAGCUUCUUGGAGCAGGCUUGUUCCAGCUUCCAUCUUGUAGCUGUGUCACCUGUGAAGACCCUGCUCUGUGCACGGCUGCCGCAAGGAGCACCUGAAGGAUGGAGCUCAGCUCUCUCCAAGGCUGGUGUGUGUGGAACAAAGCCAGAGGAUUGUGCUGGUUCACCAGUUUCUGCCUGCGUGUGGAGUCUCCGUGCCGUGGUUUCCUCUGCUGCUCUCCAGCCCAGAAAGCACCAGAGGACUUCCAGGCCCCCUCUCCAGCCAUCUGACACAUGGAAAGGAGGGGAACCUUCCUGGUACUGGCACACUGGUGGAGAACCUUUCUGACUGCAGGAGGGGAGGAACCUCCACUGGCAUCUGAUGGGCCUGCAGAAGAACUGCUCUUCACAUGGCACUGCUGGGGUGAAGAGAAUCCAGGUCUUACAAAGGUGUCUGCUCUAUUGUGGGAGCUGCCAGAAACUGCCACCAAAGCCUUGCCACAAAAGGUCCCAGCUCCUAGAAGACAAGGUCAGUCCUUCCCUUAAUGGCUCCAUACUAUGCAGGCUCAGCAAGAAGGGCUCCACUAAAGCAUCUUCACUGAGUCUCCAUCACACAGUGAUGCCCUCUGACCCUGUGCCAGUAAAGCCAGACUGGCAAAGCAGCUGCCAGGUGCUGCAGGGGUGCAGUCCUGUGUACACCAGGCCAGAGUCACAAAAGCUGUGACAACAAAUUUGCUUGCAGUCUUCUGUGGAUCUAAACAUCAGCCACAACUUGGGGGGUGUGUG